rnacentral:hammerhead_ribozyme from 1 species
AUCCAGCUGAUGAGUCUCAAAUAGAACGAAAUGCGCGUCCUGGAU